rnacentral:rRNA from 1 species
AUGAACGCUAGCUACAGGCUAACACAUGCAAGUCGAGGGGCAGCAUGAAGUUGCUUGCAAACUUGAUGGCGACCGGCGCACGGGUGAGUAACGCGUAUCCAACCUGGCCCGCAGUAGGGAACAGCCCGGCGAAAGUCGGAUUAAUGCCCUAUGUCUUCCUUUGCAGGCAUCCAAUGAGGAAGAAAGAUUUAUCGCUGCGGGAUGGGGAUGCGUCUGAUUAGCUUGUCGGCGGGGUAACGGCCCACCGAGGCGACGAUCAGUAGGGGUUCUGAGAGGAAGGUCCCCCACACUGGUACUGAGACACGGACCAGACUCCUACGGGAGGCAGCAGUGAGGAAUAUUGGUCAAUGGGCGAGAGCCUGAACCAGCCAAGUAGCGUGCAGGAACCGACUGCCCUAUGGGUUGUAAACUGCUUUUAUGCGGGGAUAAACUUCAGCACGUGUGCUGUUUUGCAGGUACCGCAUGAAUAAGGACCGGCUAAUUCCGUGCCAGCCGCAGC